AGAUUACACUUCAUCUCAAAGAAUCCAGAACUCGUGAUUUACAAUUGAUUUUCUACAUUUUGAAUCUCUACACUAUGCAGCAGCUUGCCUUCUCUCCAGGAUCUAGAAAUGAGGAUCCUGAGCCUUGCACGUGACCACCAGACCAGCACAACCAUUUCACGCUUGGCACUGAAGAAGGGACCAAUCCUGCAGUAUAACGUAUAUUUCCUAAACCACCUAAGGCUAAAGCCUUUUGGCUGAGGAAGACUUUUGGGGAAGACUUUUGGGUGUGCUGAAACCUGUCUGAUACCUUGCCUUCAAGCUUCCAGUUUCCCAGCAGUGUCCUUGCACAAUGUGAAGGCACUUGUCCUCAUUCAGGGCUGUGUACAUGCUAUAUCGAAAAACUUAACAUGUUAUGUAUGCAAAUGAAUCAAAACAUAUACAUUGAUGCACUGAAAUUUGGGAGUGUCAUCUUUCUCAGCACCUCGUAGACUGGCCUGGUUGAACAGAGCCCCAAAUCCUCGACUUUCCUAAGAGCAGGUGAUAUAUUAAGACAAGAGCAUAUUAUGCAGUAAGACAUUAACAAUGAAUCUGAAAAGGUAUUGUGAAUGUUAAAAUUGUACUGACUAAAAUAUACUGAGGUUAAAAUACAGGGUAACUUUACAAAUCACUAUUAAUUUCUUUGGCUUUCAUUGCAAUAACAUUGAUUUAAUUCAUUAGAAUCCUUUCUAAAUCUAUAUUUCAGUUUUAGAGUUGUCAGUUUCUGUUAAUGACAAUUUAGCCCAUCUGUUCUAACAUGAAAAUGAGGCUUCAUGCAGUAGACAUGAUAGAUCUCUAAUAGUUGAAGAAGUAAGAAUCUUAAAGGUAUUUCAUUUGGAUUGUAUCCACUUUGAUGCAAUUCACCCUUGAAAUCAAGCCUAGUACUAAAAACUUUUAACUGUGUAAUCAAAAAAACAAAAAUGUCAUAUCUUGUCAUUUAGGCCACUGUCUAUUUCAUAAUUUACAUCAAAAAUUUCAAAACAUUCCCACUCAUUCUCUCUCUAAUGACAGAGCCAUAAUUUUGGGUGUCAGCAUAUCAGAAUUCCACUGGAUGUGAUUAGAAUAAGAAUUAGUUUCUUUAAUUUGGCCAUUCAAACGGUAAUAUUACUACAGUAAGUCAUUCUACUGAACAAGCCAGUGCCGCCAAGCUAGGUUACAACUUAGGUUUCAAUACAGGUUUAAAACUUCAGUUCCUUGCACAGGUCAAUCUUCUGAAGGGGUAAUUUUUCAAAGCAGUGUGUGAGUCUUAAGCACACAAAUCCAGUUAGCAAAUAACAAGAUUAUGUUCUGUGCACUGCUUUGAAAAUUUAUCCCUAAUAUCCUAGAGAUAGGAGCACAGUUAUUGCACACAUUACAUAUGAGGUAUAAUUUAAAUUGUUUUUUAGUAAGCAGUUCCCUGCAUUUGUGUAAUGCAGUGCUAUUCUGGGGAAAAAUGCUCAGCUAAUUAUUCAGUCUAGAAAAAUAAACACAUCCAUUAAAGGCUAGGCUACAUAUUAAUGCACGACCUUUGCAACCGUAGUGUUUAUUUGCAAAUCUUCUAGAAAAUUUUGUAUCCAUUAAAUAUAUAUGGAAUGGGAUAUUGUCUUUAUUGCUGAAAGUUACCAAAUUCACAUUGGCUUAAACUCAGCAAAAUGCAGUGCUCCUUUGUAACAAAGGCGAUGGUUCCUACAGUGUGCUCCAUUACUGCUUUUUGUUUCAGACUUCUCUCGAAUUUCAGAAUACAGCUAGGAAAAUCAGACUAAAUAAGCUCCCACGGGACCAGAUUUCUAAUUUCUAAAUACAAACUAUUGAAAAUUUAGCUUUUCAAGGGUAAUACUUCUAACAAAUUAAAAAUCAACAAAAAUAUUAUGCUUCUAUGUUACCUGUUCAAGUGUAUAGAAUGUACAAAAACUUUAAUCAAAUACUCAGGUUUGCUCAGUUUUACAUUGUGUUAGUUUAAUAGUUUCUAUUCUGCUGUUUAUAUUAAUGACAUAUUCUCAUCUAAAUAUAUUGCAAUGCUGAAAAGCCAUCAAAACAUUUCUAAGGUUGAAUGAGUGCAGUUGCAUUCAUGAUUUUUUUAAUAAAAUGAUCUCUUUCUAUUGAA